rnacentral:rRNA from 2 species
GCAGUCGAACGAACUCUGGUAUUGAUUGGUGCUUGCAUCAUGAUUUACAUUUGAGUGAGUGGCGAACUGGUGAGUAACACGUGGGAAACCUGCCCAGAAGCGGGGGAUAACACCUGGAAACAGAUGCUAAUACCGCAUAACAACUUGGACCGCAUGGUCCGAGCUUGAAAGAUGGCUUCGGCUAUCACUUUUGGAUGGUCCCGCGGCGUAUUAGCUAGAUGGUGGGGUAACGGCUCACCAUGGCAAUGAUACGUAGCCGACCUGAGAGGGUAAUCGGCCACAUUGGGACUGAGACACGGCCCAAACUCCUACGGGAGGCAGCAGUAGGGAAUCUUCCACAAUGGACGAAAGUCUGAUGGAGCAACGCCGCGUGAGUGAAGAAGGGUUUCGGCUCGUAAAACUCUGUUGUUAAAGAAGAACAUAUCUGAGAGUAACUGUUCAGGUAUUGACGGUAUUUAACCAGAAAGCCACGGCUAACUACGUGCCAGCAGCCGCGGUAAUACGUAGGUGGCAAGCGUUGUCCGGAUUUAUUGGGCGUAAAGCGAGCGCAGGCGGUUUUUUAAGUCUGAUGUGAAAGCCUUCGGCUCAACCGAAGAAGUGCAUCGGAAACUGGGAAACUUGAGUGCAGAAGAGGACAGUGGAACUCCAUGUGUAGCGGUGAAAUGCGUAGAUAUAUGGAAGAACACCAGUGGCGAAGGCGGCUGUCUGGUCUGUAACUGACGCUGAGGCUCGAAAGUAUGGGUAGCAAACAGGAUUAGAUACCCUGGUAGUCCAUACCGUAAACGAUGAAUGCUAAGUGUUGGAGGGUUUCCGCCCUUCAGUGCUGCAGCUAACGCAUUAAGCAUUCCGCCUGGGGAGUACGGCCGCAAGGCUGAAACUCAAAGGAAUUGACGGGGGCCCGCACAAGCGGUGGAGCAUGUGGUUUAAUUCGAAGCUACGCGAAGAACCUUACCAGGUCUUGACAUACUAUGCAAAUCUAAGAGAUUAGACGUUCCCUUCGGGGACAUGGAUACAGGUGGUGCAUGGUUGUCGUCAGCUCGUGUCGUGAGAUGUUGGGUUAAGUCCCGCAACGAGCGCAACCCUUAUUAUCAGUUGCCAGCAUUAAGUUGGGCACUCUGGUGAGACUGCCGGUGACAAACCGGAGGAAGGUGGGGAUGACGUCAAAUCAUCAUGCCCCUUAUGACCUGGGCUACACACGUGCUACAAUGGAUGGUACAACGAGUUGCGAACUCGCGAGAGUAAGCUAAUCUCUUAAAGCCAUUCUCAGUUCGGAUUGUAGGCUGCAACUCGCCUACAUGAAGUCGGAAUCGCUAGUAAUCGCGGAUCAGCAUGCCGCGGUGAAUACGUUCCCGGGCCUUGUACACACCGCCCGUCACACCAUGAGAGUUUGUAACACCCAAAGUCGGUGGGGUAACCUUUUAGGAACCAGCCGCCUAAGGUGGGACAGAUGAUUAGGGUGAAGUCGUAACAG